UUAUACACUAAAUGUGUGAGUGGUUUGUUUCGCGGUUAUACGUUUUAACAAUAAUAAUAUUAUCUAACUACGUCUGUCGACUGAUUACCAGAAAAAACAUUCUUAAAAUAGCUCAAAAAUGAAAUUGGCCUGACGAAAAAAAUUGGCGUGCUUAAAUUUUGGCACACCUAUUAUAAAAUUCAAAUGGCGCUACUGACAGUACUGAUCAACUUAAGUAGUUGUCAACCACUCGGAUUUAGACUUGGGUUAUUUAGAGUCUGGUCCUAAAAGACUAAAACUAAAGGAAUUUCCUUUAACACAAUUUGAUACUAAAAAACGUGACUUCAAUUCUUCAAUUCUAAAUAUUAUGAGAAUAACAAUUGGGUCGAAUACUGUAUUAAUAAGGAUGUCAUAUUUUGUUACGCAUGUUGAAUGUUUAGAAACAAUCAAACUAAACCUACAUUCACAACUACUGGGUUCAAAAAAUUGGAAAAAAACAAUGAUGUUAAGAGAAUAACAGCCGUGGCUAAAAGUACAUUUAAUAAUUAAUACACCCUCCUAACCAAAAAACAUUAUGAAUAUACCGCAAUGAAGAAAUUUAUCAAAUCUUAUAUGUGUAGUGUAUUAUUUUAUGGCUGUGAAAUUUGAAAAGUAAAACAAUAUGAAAAGAAACGGCUAGGAGCUACCGAGAUGUGGUUUUGGAGAAAAAACAAGAUAUCUUGGUUCAAAAGGAAGAUCAAUGAAGGCUGCAAGCAAUAGGAGAGGGAAGGAACAUCAUAUACUACAUCUUGAUAAAGAAAACGAAAAUUCAUUAGAUACCUCAUAAGUAUUUCUUGUGAUAUUUGUUUAGGCUUCUGUAGGUUAUGUGGAAUAGAAUCUAUGUUUUGGCUUUGAAGUAGGGAAUUUCUUUUACUGUUUAAUGUAGGACUGUUUUUUAUUCAUCGCCUUAUGUUAUUGAUGAAUUUUAAUAAAUAUUUGUAUUAUAAUAUUUAAUAUUAUAAUAUUAUAAUAUUUGUCUUCUUAAUGGUGUGAUUUUUACUGUUUGUUAUAGGUCGGUUUUUGGUUCUUUUUUUUGUGAAUUGUGUUAGGGAUAUUUUUGAUGAUUUGUCCUUUUUGUGUUGGACAUAUUUGUUAUCUUUUAUAUGCGUUUAUAAUAAAGAAUUUCUUUUGUUUGAUUGUCUGUAGGUAGUAAUGAUUGGCUGUUUAACUCUUUUGGCUUUAAAUUAGGGAACUGUUUUAACUAUUUGAUGGAGGUAUGUUUUCAUUCUUCGGCUUUUUUUGUGAUUUGUGUUAGGUAAUUGUUUUGAUGGAUUGUCCUUUUAAUGUUAUUGGAUAAAUCUGUUGUUUAUUUUUAUGAGUGAUAUUUCUUAGUUUCAUCUUUUGGGUGUUUCUUAUGCUGUGUUAAAUAGUAUUGAUUUUUUUACUUCUAAAUAGGGUUAUAAUUUUUACUGUUUGUUAUAAGUCUGUUUUUGUUCUUCGUCUAUUUUUUUGAUUUGUGUUAGUUUUUUAUAUGAUGGAUUGUCCUUUUUGUGGUGUUAGAUAUAUUGCCUAUUUUAUUGUGGAAUUGUUAUAGACUUUUUUUUUAUUUGGUUGUUUUAAGGUAGUGAUGAUCAGCUGUUCAACUGUUUUUGCUUUGAACUAGGGACCUGUUUUUACAAUUAUGUUGGUCGGUCUUGUUCUUUUGUCUUUUUUUUCGUGGUAUUUUGUAGGUAUAUGUUAUCCUCCAGGGGAACACGUUCUUACGUGUUUACGGGUCUUAGCGAACCCGGGGUCCCGAGCUCUUGUUUGGUUGUCUGUAGUUUAGGGUUGAUCAGCUGUUUGGCUUCGAGUUAUGGAACUGUUUUAAUUACUUGAUGAAGGUCUGUUAUUUGUUUUUUGUCUUUUUUAUUUGAUGAUUUUUGAUAGGUAUUUGUUUUAUGGAGUGCCUUUCUUAUCAUGUGAUUUAUGCUGUUUGAUAUUGGUUAGUUUUUUGUUUUUCGGUUAUAGUUUGUGAAUUUUGUUAGGAACUUGUUUGGUGGAUUGUUCUUUUUAUGGUGUUACAUAUAUUUGUUGUCAAUUUUAUGAGAGAUAAUUUUUGGUUUCUUUUUUUUCAAUAUUUCUUAUAUUGUAUUGAACAGGAUUUAAUUUUUGUUACUAAAUAGAGAUACCUAUGAUUUU
rnacentral:lncRNA from 1 species